UGGGGGAUAUUGCACAAUGGGCGAAAGCCUGAUGCAGCGACGCCGCGUGGGGGAUGAAGGCUUUCGGGUUGUAAACCUCUUUCGCUAUCGAACAAGGCCCGCUUAGGGUGGGUUGAGGGUAGGUGGAGAAGAAGCGCCGGCUAACUACGUGCCAGCAGCCGCGGUAAUACGUAGGGCGCGAGCGUUGUCCGGAAUUAUUGGGCGUAAAGGGCUUGUAGGCGGCUUGUUGCGCCUGCUGUGAAAACGCGGGGCUUAACUUCGCGCGUGCAGUGGGUACGGGCAGGCUUGAGUGUGGUACGGGUGACUGGAAUUCCAGGUGUAGCGGUGGAAUGCGCAGAUAUCUGGAGGAACACCGAUGGCGAAGGCAGGUCACUGGGCCAUUACUGACGCUGAGGAGCGAAAGCAUGGGUAGCGAACAGG
rnacentral:rRNA from 1 species